GGAAAAGCGCAUGAGCGGGGCGUCCUGCCCGUGGUGCGCGGCGGCCUUCUAGUGGUGUGCGGCGCCCUCCUCACGCCGUACCUGUUUCUCGGUAGCUGUCGGGCUCUGACGAGAAUGAUGGAUUUUGAGAAUCUUUUCUCCAAACCCCCCAACCCGGCUCUCGGCAAGAAGCCCGCCACGGACUCUGACCAAAGAAUCGAUGGUGAAAUAGAUGAUACAGAAGUUGAAGAAACACAAGAAGAGAAAAUAAAAUGGAAAGUAAAACUGAAGUGUGAGCAAAUUUCCAAAAAAUUUAGGCACUUUGGAAACUCUACAUCACGGAAGAAUUUGCAACGUAGAAAAUCAAGAAGUAAGGACUAUGAUGUAUAUAGUGAUAAUGAUAUCUGCAGUCAGGAAUCAGAAGAUAAUUUUGCUAAAGAGCUUCAACAAUAUAUACAAGCUAAAGAGAUGGCAAAUGCUACUCAAUCCUUAUCGCUUCCUGAAGAAUCUGUGAAGAAAGAGGGAGCAAAGGAUAUCCAGAAAGGUAAAGCUGUUAAACAAAAAAAUAAAAAUAAAAACCUUAAAGCUGUUCGCAAGAAUGGUAAACAGAAGAAAAUGAAGCGAAAAUGGCCUGGCACUGGAGACAAGGGAUCAGACGCUUCCCUGAGGGAGAGUGGCUCACAGGAACAGGAUGGUAAACCUAAAGAGAAGCAGCAGCCUGUGAGAAUGAGUCAGGGAUUCAUCAACCAACAUACGGUGCAACGCCAGGGAAAACAAAUUUGUAAAUAUUUUCUUGAAAGGAAAUGUAUUAAGGGAGACCAGUGUAAAUUUGAUCAUGCUGCAGAGAUAGAGAAGAAAAAGGAAAUGUGUAAGUUUUAUGUACAAGGAUAUUGUACCAGAGGUGAAAACUGCCUGUAUUUGCAUAAUGAAUAUCCUUGCAAGUUUUACCAUACAGGAGCAAAAUGUUAUCAGGGAGAACAUUGCAAGUUUUCACAUGCUCCCCUGACUGCUGAAACACAAGAACUGUUGGCUAAAGCUUUGGAUCCUGAAAAGAAGUCGUCAUGAAAGUAAAAUGCAUAAAAAAGAUGUGGAUGUUUGGCAAGUAGAUUUUCACAAAUGAAUGGAGUGACCCUGUCACUUCAAGAAAAACAACUGAAAGUAUAUGUUAUUGAUGAUAAAGUUCUGGUUUUUGAGCAAAAAUUACAGUUUUGGAACAUUUGAUCUGCCUCUGUGAGCUUGAAAGCUUUCCUGUACUUAAAGACUUUUUGCUUUGUAUGGAUGAAGAGUGCUUGUGUCUGCCUGUUGAAGACUAUUCAAGACUUGAUUUGGAGUGGUUUACAAGAUUCCUCACUUAAAGCGCCCUCUUGUGUCAUUACAGUGAUGUGCACCUCUUCAGUGGGUGGCGCUGAGGGAUGAAUGUAGUGUCUAAGUGAAGGGUUGGUCUUCACCAGGAUGGUUCCAGCCAUUGAAACAGGGGAGGAGCAUAUGUGACAGAGAUGCUGGCUGGUGGGUAAACGUUGUGGCAGUAUAUUGCAGAAGUCUCUUCUGAUUGAUUGCGUUUUCUCAAUAAAAUAGGAAGAAGGUUAGGCUGAGUGAGGAUGGAAGAGAGAAAACUACUGUGUUCCGCUGGGAAGACAUUGGGAUAAUAGACAAUGAAUAUACAGCUAGAUCUUUUCAUGUCAUUAAAUACAUUCACAACAUAUUUUUAUUGUUUGCUCGCAGUUCUGUUUUAUGGCUUAAAUUAUGGUUCUGUGAUCUUUUAAAACCAGUUUCCUAUUGGUGAACGAAAAAGUUGUUUCCGAUUUCCUACUGUUAUAAAUAAAACGGAGCAGUGUCUCUUGCUAUACCAUUCCUAAA